GCGCGGCAUAUGAAAAUGAUCUUUGACCAUAGUUGACCAAUAUAUUCGUUAUUUUCAUUUUGUGGCGAAGUAUUUCGUUACUUUCUAACUUUUGUUUAAUUUUAAGUUAUUUAUUUAUGAUUUAUUUUAAUUUUUGGUUUGGUAAUAGGACCUCUACAUGCGUCUGGGAUCUCUCGUUUGUGGCUUACUUAUAAGCAUUACUUAUUAAAUGGAUUUCUUAUAUCUUCCACGGGGUCUGGAAAGUAAACCAUGCCGUGAAAUAUUGUAUAUUCGGUGCACGCAUAUAAUGCGUGUGCUGUUUUGUGUCUUUUGUAUGUCAAUCCAUUGGAGAAGUCCCCCCCCCCCCUCUACACGCUACAGACAAUAGUACUUUUACUUUGUACUUCAAGUAUUUUUUAAGGAUACUUUGUACUUUUUACUUAAGUACGUUUUGCUUCCACUACUUUUUAC